ACGCACGCUGGCGGCAUGCCUCACACAUGCAAGUCGAACGAGACCUUCGGGUCUAGUGGCGCACGGGUGCGUAACGCGUGGGAACCUGCCCUUAGGUUCGGAAUAACUCCCCGAAAGGGGUGCUAAUACCGGAUAAUGUCUUCGGACCAAAGAUUUAUCGCCUUUGGAUGGGCCCGCGUUGGAUUAGCUAGUUGGUAGGGUAAAAGCCUACCAAGGCGACGAUCCAUAGCUGGUCUGAGAGGAUGAUCAGCCACACUGGGACUGAGACACGGCCCAGACUCCUACGGGAGGCAGCAGUGGGGAAUAUUGGACAAUGGGCGAAAGCCUGAUCCAGCAAUGCCGCGUGAGUGAUGAAGGCCUUAGGGUUGUAAAGCUCUUUUAUCCGGGAUGAUAAUGACAGUACCGGGAGAAUAAGCUCCGGCUAACUCCGUG
rnacentral:rRNA from 1 species